AAGGGUGGUUAUUGCAUUAGGGCUCACCUCUUCCCAUUUCGAACAGAGAAGUUAAGCCUAAUUGCGCAGAUGGUACUGCCAUUUGGUGGGAGAGUAUGUCACCGCCUUCU
rnacentral:rRNA from 1 species